rnacentral:rRNA from 1 species
AAUAGAUACCCUGGUAGUCCACGCCGUAAACGAUGGAUACUAGCUGUUGGGGGCAACUUCAGUGGCUAAGCGAAAGUGAUAAGUAUCCCACCUGGGGAGUACGAACGCAAGUUUGAAACUCAAAGGAAUUGACGGGGGCCCGCACAAGCGGUGGAGCAUGUGGUUUAAUUCGAUGAUACGCGAGGAACCUUACCAAGGCUUAAAUGCAGACUGACCGAUUUGGAAACAGAUCUUUCGCAAGACAGUUUACAAGGUGCUGCAUGGUUGUCGUCAGCUCGUGCCGUGAGGUGUCAGGUUAAGUCCUAUAACGAGCGCAACCCCUGUUGUUAGUUGCCAGCGAGUUCAUGUCGGGAACUCUAACAAGACUGCCAGUGCAAACUGUGAGGAAGGUGGGGAUGACGUCGAAAUCAUCACGGCCCUUACGCCUUGGGCUACACACGUGCUACAAUGGCCGGUACAGAGAGCAGCCACCUCGCGAGGGGGAGCGAAUCUAUAAAGCCGGUCACAGUUCGGAAUCGGAGU